AGAUACUUGAUUCUUCUAUAACCUUGUGAAAGCCAAAUGUAAGUGGCACUACUGUCUGACAAUCAAAACAAAACGGAUGGUUUAUGGUACAAAACAGCAGAAACGAUGAACAUAGGACGAGCACAGUAGAGCACAAAUGAUGGUAACCGAUUGAAAAUGGCACCAUUGAAGCUUCUAUUUAAUAGAGGAAGUGAUGCUAAAUACAAUGCAGAUUUUCUUCAUUGCUCCAAAGCAAGCACUACACGAGCAAAAAAUUUAUUCUCUGGUGGUCACUCUCAACAUUCCAUGUUACAAGUUUGUUUUUGUCCAUCUUCACAGCAACAAAUAAAAGAAAAAUGUGUCUUGGCUAGGGUUAGUAAUUUCAUGCAUUCACCUACGUACACGGUUCUUAGCAGGAGAAAGCAGCAUAGACCCAAUAAUACUUUUACUGCAUGUAAAAUGCAUCGUGCGCCCAUGAAUAGCUAGUAUCUUCACAAAAUAACUAUUUCUUGGGGUAAGUUUGAUGAUCAGGUCCGAUAUCACGCGAACCAGUGUUGAUGUAAGGCCCCCGGAAAGUUGCCUGAGGUGGUAGUGCCUUUGACGAGUCAAUCACAGGCUUCAUCUUUG
rnacentral:lncRNA from 1 species